rnacentral:lncRNA from 1 species
AUGUGUGUGUGUGUGUGUGUGUGUGUUGUUGCAGCAUUUGUCCAGACUCUGACAAUGAUGGUAUCCUUCAGAUGGAAUGAAAAUGAAUUAGGAGGAAGAGCUGAAAUAAUACAAGAGGAUCUACGUGUCAUUGUCUUUCCUGCCGAAGGUGCUUUUGUCCUAUGCUGGCUAGCAUACUUAACAUUUAGUUAUGGUCAUUGUGUGGCAGCUUGUAAAAAAAGGAAAGCUCUUAACUGUUGGAAUAAACCUCUGAACAAACACAGAAGUAAUCCGAAAAAUGCUCAGGAUCCACCAGAGAGUCUUGAACUACAAACUUUGCAUGUGUAAUGAGAGAAAUGGGCUAGAAGAUUUACCAAAUGCUCUAUAUUUUAUAUAGACACACCACAUUAAUUUACAGUAAGGAUUCUGACAGACCAGGCUAUCUUUGGUAAUUGUUCAAACAUUUUGUUGUUGUUGUGUGUACAUUAAAUUGUAUAAUUUUAUUUAGAUUUGUCUCAUCAAAAGUUGUCAAAGGUUUUUAUUUUUUUUUUUUUGUGACUAGUUUUUAUAUUAGAAUUAGAAAUUUAUAUUAGAAUGUUUUUUUGUGAUUAAAAAAUGCUGUUUUUGAGAGCAAAACUGCUGUGUAUGGAAAUAUAGUAUUUUUUAUUUUAAAACAGCUUUGAGAUGGCUUUUUACUUGAAAUAAAGUAAUCGAAAACAAAACUUUUCAAAGUGAGUAAAUCUUCAUUUUUCCUUACACUUUUCAUCACACAGCCAGACAUUUCAAUCUUUUUCUUUUUUUAUGUCAAUAGGCAUUUCUCAAUACCAAGCAUGCAAAGUUCAGACUUCGCGUCCUUGGUAGUCCGGACUUGGUAAGUUUAGCUAAGGAGUACAAACUUAUGUCCCGUAAUUCUGCAAAUGGAACAGUAGCAUACCUGAUGACUUCACACACCUCACCACGGCGUGAAUUUGAUUCUCCAUACUGUAUAUUAACAAUAAAACAAAAUAUCAUAUAAUUAACACCACCCCACCUCUUCUCGUUUUCAUUUUAAAAAUCUCAUACAUAUUAAUAGUCCCAACAUGUGGUUCAGCCAACGCGUGCAUACAUAAUUAUAUUCACUGCAUGCAUAUAUAAGAAAACUAAAUAUAAACAGCCAUGUCAUGAACUCAUGUCAUGAGCUCCACCAGCAGGCAGCGUAUGCUCUUCUGUGUCAGCCGUGCUGCACUGAUGCG